UACGUAGGGUGCAAGCGUUGUCCGGAAUUAUUGGGCGUAAAGAGCUCGUAGGCGGUUUGUCGCGUCUGCUGUGAAAACUCAGGGCUUAACCCUGAGCCUGCUUCCGAUACGGGCAGACUAGAGGUAUGCAGGGGAGAAUGGAAUUCCUGGUGUAGCGGUGAAAUGCGCAGAUAUCAGGAGGAACACCAGUGGCGAAGGCGGUUCUCUGGGCAUUACCUGACGCUGAGGAGCGAAAGUGUGGGGAGCGAACAGG
rnacentral:rRNA from 1 species